rnacentral:rRNA from 1 species
UACGUAGGGUGCAAGCGUUAAUCGGAAUUACUGGGCGUAAAAGCGUGCGCAGGCGGUUUUGUAAGUUUGUCGUGAAAGCCCCGGGCUCAACCUGGGAAUUGCGAUGAAGACUGCAAGGCUUGAAUCUGGCAGAGGGGGGGGUAGAAAUUCCACGUGUAGCAGUGAAAUGCGUAGAGAUGUGGAGGAACACCGAUGGCGAAGGCAGCCCCCUGGGUCAAGAUUGACGCUCAUGCACGAAAGCGUGGGGAGCAAACAGG